AGUGAACGCUGGCGGUAGGCCUAACACAUGCAAGUCGAACGGCAGCACAGUAAGAGCUUGCUCUUACGGGUGGCGAGUGGAGGACGGGUGAGGAACACAUCGGAAUUUACUUUUUCGUGGGGGAUAACGUAGGGAAACUUACGCUAAUACCGCAUACGACCUACGGGUGAAAGCAGGGGAUCUUCGGACCUUGCGCGAUUGAAUGAGCCGAUGUGGGAUUAGUUAGUUGGCGGGGUAAAGGCCGGCCAAGGCGGCGAUCCGUAGCUGGGCUGAGAGGAUGAUCAGCCACACUGUAACUUAGACACGGUCCAGACUCCUACGGGAGGCAGCAGUGGGGAAUAUUGGACAAUGGGCGCAAGCCUGAUCCAGCCAUGCCGCGUGGGUGAAGAAGGCCUUCGGGUUGUAAAGUCCUUUUGUUGGGAAAGAAGAGCAGCAGGUUAAUACCCCGCUGUUCUGACGGUACUCAAAGAAUAAGCACCGGCUAACUUCGUG
rnacentral:rRNA from 1 species